UACGAAGGGGGCUAGCGUUGUUCGGAAUUACUGGGCGUAAAGCGAACGUAGGCGGUGUUCCAUGUCAGAGGUGAAAGCCUGGGGCUCAACUCCAGAAUUGCCUUUGAAACGGGGACGCUUGAGUCCGAGAGAGGAUGGCGGAAUUCCUAGUGUAGAGGUGAAAUUCGUAGAUAUUAGGAAGAACACCAGUGGCGAAGGCGGCCAUCUGGCUCGGUACUGACGCUCAGGUUCGAAAGCGCGGGGAGCAAACAGG
rnacentral:rRNA from 1 species